rnacentral:rRNA from 1 species
GGUUAAGCGACUAAGCGUACACGGUGGAUGCCCUGGCAGUCAGAGGCGAUGAAGGACGUGCUAAUCUGCGAUAAGCGUCGGUAAGGUGAUAUGAACCGUUAUAACCGGCGAUUUCCGAAUGGGGAAACCCAGUGUGAUUCGUCACACUAUCAUUAACUGAAUCCAUAGGUUAAUGAGGCGAACCGGGGGAACUGAAACAUCUAAGUACCCCGAGGAAAAGAAAUCAACCGAGAUUCCCCCAGUAGCGGCGAGCGAACGGGGAGCAGCCCAGAGCCUGAAUCAGUGUGUGUGUUAGUGGAAGCGUCUGGAAAGGCGCGCGAUACAGGGUGACAGCCCCGUACACAAAAAUGCACAUGCUGUGAGCUCGAUGAGUAGGGCGGGACACGUGGUAUCCUGUCUGAAUAUGGGGGGACCAUCCUCCAAGGCUAAAUACUCCUGACUGACCGAUAGUGAACCAGUACCGUGAGGGAAAGGCGAAAAGAACCCCGGCGAGGGGAGUGAAAAAGAACCUGAAACCGUGUACGUACAAGCAGUGGGAGCACGCUUAGGCGUGUGACUGCGUACCUUUUGUAUAAUGGGUCAGCGACUUAUAUUCUGUAGCAAGGUUAACCGAAUAGGGGAGCCGAAGGGAAACCGAGUCUUAACUGGGCGUUAAGUUGCAGGGUAUAGACCCGAAACCCGGUGAUCUAGCCAUGGGCAGGUUGAAGGUUGGGUAACACUAACUGGAGGACCGAACCGACUAAUGUUGAAAAAUUAGCGGAUGACUUGUGGCUGGGGGUGAAAGGCCAAUCAAACCGGGAGAUAGCUGGUUCUCCCCGAAAGCUAUUUAGGUAGCGCCUCGUGAAUUCAUCUCCGGGGGUAGAGCACUGUUUCGGCAAGGGGGUCAUCCCGACUUACCAACCCGAUGCAAACUGCGAAUACCGGAGAAUGUUAUCACGGGAGACACACGGCGGGUGCUAACGUCCGUCGUGAAGAGGGAAACAACCCAGACCGCCAGCUAAGGUCCCAAAGUCAUGGUUAAGUGGGAAACGAUGUGGGAAGGCCCAGACAGCCAGGAUGUUGGCUUAGAAGCAGCCAUCAUUUAAAGAAAGCGUAAUAGCUCACUGGUCGAGUCGGCCUGCGCGGAAGAUGUAACGGGGCUAAACCAUGCACCGAAGCUGCGGCAGCGACGCUUAUGCGUUGUUGGGUAGGGGAGCGUUCUGUAAGCCUGUGAAGGUGUACUGUGAGGUAUGCUGGAGGUAUCAGAAGUGCGAAUGCUGACAUAAGUAACGAUAAAGCGGGUGAAAAGCCCGCUCGCCGGAAGACCAAGGGUUCCUGUCCAACGUUAAUCGGGGCAGGGUGAGUCGACCCCUAAGGCGAGGCCGAAAGGCGUAGUCGAUGGGAAACAGGUUAAUAUUCCUGUACUUGGUGUUACUGCGAAGGGGGGACGGAGAAGGCUAUGUUGGCCGGGCGACGGUUGUCCCGGUUUAAGCGUGUAGGCUGGUUUUCCAGGCAAAUCCGGAAAAUCAAGGCUGAGGCGUGAUGACGAGGCACUACGGUGCUGAAGCAACAAAUGCCCUGCUUCCAGGAAAAGCCUCUAAGCAUCAGGUAACAUCAAAUCGUACCCCAAACCGACACAGGUGGUCAGGUAGAGAAUACCAAGGCGCUUGAGAGAACUCGGGUGAAGGAACUAGGCAAAAUGGUGCCGUAACUUCGGGAGAAGGCACGCUGAUAUGUAGGUGAAGUCCCUCGCGGAUGGAGCUGAAAUCAGUCGAAGAUACCAGCUGGCUGCAACUGUUUAUUAAAAACACAGCACUGUGCAAACACGAAAGUGGACGUAUACGGUGUGACGCCUGCCCGGUGCCGGAAGGUUAAUUGAUGGGGUCAGCGCAAGCGAAGCUCUUGAUCGAAGCCCCGGUAAACGGCGGCCGUAACUAUAACGGUCCUAAGGUAGCGAAAUUCCUUGUCGGGUAAGUUCCGACCUGCACGAAUGGCGUAAUGAUGGCCAGGCUGUCUCCACCCGAGACUCAGUGAAAUUGAACUCGCUGUGAAGAUGCAGUGUACCCGCGGCAAGACGGAAAGACCCCGUGAACCUUUACUAUAGCUUGACACUGAACAUUGAGCCUUGAUGUGUAGGAUAGGUGGGAGGCUUUGAAGUGUGGACGCCAGUCUGCAUGGAGCCGACCUUGAAAUACCACCCUUUAAUGUUUGAUGUUCUAACGUGGACCCGUGAUCCGGGUUGCGGACAGUGUCUGGUGGGUAGUUUGACUGGGGCGGUCUCCUCCUAAAGAGUAACGGAGGAGCACGAAGGUUGGCUAAUCCUGGUCGGACAUCAGGAGGUUAGUGCAAUGGCAUAAGCCAGCUUGACUGCGAGCGUGACGGCGCGAGCAGGUGCGAAAGCAGGUCAUAGUGAUCCGGUGGUUCUGAAUGGAAGGGCCAUCGCUCAACGGAUAAAAGGUACUCCGGGGAUAACAGGCUGAUACCGCCCAAGAGUUCAUAUCGACGGCGGUGUUUGGCACCUCGAUGUCGGCUCAUCACAUCCUGGGGCUGAAGUAGGUCCCAAGGGUAUGGCUGUUCGCCAUUUAAAGUGGUACGCGAGCUGGGUUUAGAACGUCGUGAGACAGUUCGGUCCCUAUCUGCCGUGGGCGCUGGAGAACUGAGGGGGGCUGCUCCUAGUACGAGAGGACCGGAGUGGACGCAUCACUGGUGUUCGGGUUGUCAUGCCAAUGGCACUGCCCGGUAGCUAAAUGCGGAAGAGAUAAGUGCUGAAAGCAUCUAAGCACGAAACUUGCCCCGAGAUGAGUUCUCCCUGACUCCUUGAGAGUCCUGAAGGAACGUUGAAGACGACGACGUUGAUAGGCCGGGUGUGUAAGCGCAGCGAUGCGUUGAGCUAACCGGUACUAAUGAACCGUGAGGCUUAACCUU